AAAAAGAUAAGCUAAUAUAAAGCUAAUGGGUUCAUACCCCAUCUAUGGAAAAAAUCCUCUUUUUA
rnacentral:tRNA from 1 species